rnacentral:rRNA from 1 species
UGCCAGCANHMGCGGUUAAACUUUAAUCUUCAAUUUAUUUACUUUGGUUAAAACAUUAGUUAUAAAAAAUAACAUUAAAAGGUAAAAUUUAAAUUAAAUAUUUUCCAUAAUAACAAAAUUUUUAAAACUAAUAAGGAAAACUGAGAUUAGAUACCUCAUUAUUUAUUAGAAUAAUUUUUAACCUAAAUAUUACAGGUGUCCACGCCUCAAAUUUAAAGAACUUGGCUAUUUUUAAUAAUAUUGGGGGAUUUUGCUUUUGUAAACAAUAAUCCGUGAUAAAUUUCUCCUUAUUUAUAAGCUUAUAUAUCACCGUUUUAUUAAAGAUGAGGGUAAUUAUAUUUUAAACAAGGGCUUAAAGGCAAAAAAUCAGGUCUUGACAUAGCAUAAUAAGGUAAAAAAGUAAAAUACAAUUUUAUGAAAAUAAUGGAAACUUAAAAUAAACAGAACUCAAAAGUAAUAUUUAUUUAAAAUAUAAAUGUGAAAUAUUUAAUUAAAAAAGUACAUAUUGCCCGUCACUCUUUACUUUAACCGAAUAAAGAUWAGUCGUAACAHAGUA